GAUAAUGAAGUAAUAAUUACAAUUAGUUUCGACCUAAUAUUAGGAUAAUUUUAUUAUCCCUUGUCU
rnacentral:tRNA from 1 species